ensembl:snoRNA small nucleolar RNA SNORA68
UUUGCACCCAUAACCCAAGCUCAUGCCUUUCUCAGUGGUGUGAUCUUUUUUGGGGUGCAGAGAGUAAAUGAUCCUUGUCGCCUUUCUCUGAUGCUGCUGUGCCUUUGAAAGUGAAUCCAAGGUUCAACAAAC